AGUUUGAUCCUGGCUCAGGAUGAACGCUGGCGGCGUGCUUAACACAUGCAAGUCGAACGCUGAAGCUCCCAGCUUGCUGGGGGUGGAUGAGUGGCGAACGGGUGAGUAUCACGUGAGUAACCUGCCCUUGACUCUGGGAUAAGCCCGGGAAACUGGGUCUAAUACUGGAUAGGACUGGCCAUCGCAUGGUGGUUGGUUGAAAGCUUUUGCGGUUUUGGAUGGACUCGCGGCCUAUCAGCUUGUUGGUGGGGUAAUGGCCUACCAAGGCUUUGACGGGUAGCCGGCCUGAGAGGGUGACCGGCCACACUGGGACUGAGACACGGCCCAGACUCCUACGGGAGGCAGCAGUGGGGGAUAUUGCACAAUGGGCGCAAGCCUGAUGCAGCGACGCCGCGUGAGGGAUGACGGCCUUCGGGUUGUAAACCUCUUUCAGUUGGGAAGAAGCCUUUCGGGGUGACGGUACCUUCAGAAGAAGCACCGGCUAACUACGUGCCAGCAGCCGCGGUAAUACGUAGGGUGCGAGCGUUAUCCGGAAUUAUUGGGCGUAAAGAGCUCGUAGGCGGUUUGUCACGUCUGCUGUGAAAGCUCGGGGCUUAACUCCGAGUGUGCAGUGGGUACGGGCAGGCUGGAGUGCAGUAGGGGAGACUGAAUUCCUGGUGUA
rnacentral:rRNA from 1 species